CAAGUUGUGAAAAAAAAGGGUUUCGAAGUAUUGUGCUUUCACGUUUCGUCAUCUUUCCAUUUCUGUUUCAAGGAUUUUUGCACUAAAGGUCGAAGACUUCUCAAGGGAGCCACAAGUAGAACGUGAACUGAUGCUUAUCAAACUUAAUGCAUAUCCAAGUAUCCCUCCAGAGAAAUACAUUCGGGUGAGAGCGGGUCCAAGAGGUGUUUUCAAAUAAAAGUUAUCUCCAGUGGCUUUGGUGCAUUGAAUUAGUGGAGCAUUUAAACAGAGAUACAAACAGAAUUACUGCAUUACUAAGUUUUAAGAUUUUUGGAGGACUACAACAUAUCAAGUAUGGAGGGAAUUGAUAGAAGCGAUAUGUCAGAGGUUGGCAAUGAAGAAGUUGACUUUGGACAAACAAAUGUUCACAAUUUUCAACAGUCAGACCCAAGGUAUCGUAGGAAUAAUCAACAAAGGCAAAAUCAUAGGAGCAAUCAACAAAGACAAAGACGACAAUCUAUGAAUUCAUCACAGCGGGCUCGAAUUUCAAUACGACGACGUGCCAAUUAUCAAACCCGCUUGAACUCAAUCAAUAUAGUCCAAAAUCAAACAGAAGUAAACCAAGAAAACAUAGGACCGACAUCUGCGGGUAACUAUGAUUUCUUAUUUUUUUGUCUCUAUUCAAUUCGUAUGUUGUAUUAACAUUUUUGUACAAAUUAUUAAGACAAAUUAUUAAGACAAAUAUAAUAAGAUUGAACAAAUCAGUGAUUCUAAGU